UCGUUGAUUUUUGAGCGUUCGGUGGAUGCCUUGGCAUCGGGGGCCGAUGAAGGACGUGGUGGCCUGCGAUAUUCCUCGGGGAGCCGGCUUGCGGGCUGUGAUCCGAGGGUUUCCGAAUGGGGGGACCCGGCGCCCGUUGUGGGGCGUCACCCGUGUCUGAAGUUCAUAGGGCGCGGGGGGUGACGCGGGGAAGUGAAACAUCUCAGUACCCGCAGGAGUGGAUAUUCCGUGAGUAGUGGCGAGCGGAAGCGGAUGAUGGCUAAACCGUGCGCGUGCGAUCACCCGGCGGGGGUUGCGCGUGCGGUGUUGUCGGGGCGCGCUGUUCCCGUCUCCGCCCGGGGCGGGGCGCAGUGCAUCAAACCGGUCGGGUAGCCGAACCCCCUGGGAUGGGGGGCCGCAGCGGGUGACAGCCCCGUAGGCGGAACCCGGCGGGCUGCGCGGGCGCGGCCCCCAGUAGCACGGGGCCCGUGGAAUCCUGUGUGAAUCUGCCGAGACCACUCGGCCGCCUGAAUACCUCCCGAUGACCGAUAGCGGACGAGUACCGUGAGGGAAUGGUGAAAAGUACCCCGGGAGGGGAGUGAAACAGUACCUGAAACCGGGCGCUCACGAGCCGUCAGAGCCCCUUGUGCGCAUCCUCGGGCCGUGUGUCCGGGGGGCGGGGGUGAUGGCGUGCCUAUUGAAGAAUGAGCCUGCGAGUCGCCGCCGCGUCGCGAGGUUAACCCGUGUGGGGGAGCCGUAGCGACAGCGAGUCCGAAUGGGGCGCCCAGUGGCGCGGCGCGGACCCGAAGCGGGGUGAUCUACCCAUGGCCAGGUUGAAGCACGUGUAAGAGCGUGUGGAGGACCGCACCCGCCUCAGUUGAAAAUGGGGGGGAUGAGCUGUGGGUAGGGGUGAAAGGCCAAUCAAACCCCGUGAUAGCUGGUUCUCCCCGAAAUGCAUUUGGGUGCAGCGUCCCGUGCUCCCCGGCGGAGGUAGAGCUACCGGUUGGCUGAUGGGCCCCACAGGGUUACUGGCGUCAGCCGAACUCCGAAUGCCGUCGGGCGGUGAGCGGGGCAGUGAGACCGCGGGGGAUAAGCUUCGCGGUCGAGAGGGGAACAGCCCGGAUCGCCGGCUAAGGCCCCUAAGCGCGCGCUAAGUGGGAAAGGAUGUGCGGUCGCGGUGACAACCAGGAGGUUGGCUCAGAAGCAGCCAUCCUUGAAAGAGUGCGUAAUAGCUCACUGGUCAAGUGGUCGUGCGCCGACAAUUGAGCGGGGCUCAAGCGCGCCGCCGAAGCCGCGGAUCCGCCGCGAUAGGGCUCUGCCGCCCCCAUGUUGGGGGGUGGUGGGGCGCGGCGGGUGGUAGGGGAGCGUCCCGCGCCGGGGGAAGCCGCCGGGUGACCGGGGGUGGACGGCGCGGGAGUGAGAAUGCAGGCAUGAGUAGCGAUACUGGGGUGAGAAGCCCCAGCGCCGCGUGACCAAGGGUUCCAGGGCCAGGCUAGUCCGCCCUGGGUGAGUCGGGACCUAAGGCGAGGCCGACGGGCGUAGUCGAUGGAUGACGGGUUGAUAUUCCCGUACCGGACCGGAUACCGACCGUGCCGACGCGCGGGUGCUGACCCACGCCCCGCGCCGCCCGUGUACGCCUCCGCGUCCCGGUCUUCGGGCCGGGCGGGGGCGGGGCGGCGGGGGUCUGGGGACCCUCCGCGCAGGUAGGCAAGCGUAUUAACAGGGGUGACGCGCAGUGGUGGCCCCGCGGGCCUGAUGGCUCGGCCCGUCCAAGCGCGCGGCCCGCCGCCCAGGCAAAUCCGGGCGGCUGCCUUCGAUGGCGGGGGUGAGGCGCGACGGUGACCCGGCCCGAUGGGGCCGGGGAAGCAGGGUGAUCCUGAGGCGCCUAGAAAAGCCUCGACGCGAGGGGCCGGUCCGCCCGUACCCCAAACCGACACAGGUGGUCGGGCAGAGCAUGCCCAGGCGCACGGGCGAACCGUGGUGAAGGAACUCGGCAAAACGCCCCCGUAACUUCGGGAGAAGGGGGGCCCGAACCCUGAGGCCCCGAGCGGGCUGGGGGUGAGGGUCGCAGAGGCCAGGGGGGAGCGACUGUUUACUAAAAACACAGGUCCGUGCGAAGCCGCAAGGCGAUGUAUACGGACUGACGCCUGCCCGGUGCUGGAAGGUCAAGAGGACCCGUCAGCCCCCCUUGCGGGGGUGAAGCGGUGAAUUCAAGCCCCAGUGAACGGCGGUGGUAACUAUAACCAUCCUAAGGUAGCGAAAUUCCUUGUCGGGUAAG
rnacentral:rRNA from 1 species